rnacentral:rRNA from 1 species
GACGAACGCUGGCGGCGUGCCUAAUACAUGCAAGUAGAACGCACAGUUUAUACCGUAGCUUGCUACACCAUAGACUGUGAGUUGCGAACGGGUGAGUAACGCGUAGGUAACCUGCCUGGUAGCGGGGGAUAACUAUUGGAAACGAUAGCUAAUACCGCAUAAUAUUGAUUAUUGCAUGAUAAUUGAUUGAAAGAUGCUAUUGCAUCACUACCAGAUGGACCUGCGUUGUAUUAGCUAGUAGGUGAGGUAACGGCUCACCUAGGCGACGAUACAUAGCCGACCUGGGAGGGUGAUCGGCCACACUGGGACUGAGACACGGCCCAGACUCCUACGGGAGGCAGCAGUAGGGAAUCUUCGGCAAUGGACGAAAGUCUGACCGAGCAACGCCGCGGGAGUGAAGAAGGUUGUCGGAUCGUAAAGCUCUGUUGUAAGAGAAGAACGGGUGUGAGAGUGGAAAGUUCACACUGUGACGGUAUCUUACCAGAAAGGGACGGCUAACUACGUG